rnacentral:rRNA from 1 species
UGGGGAAUAUUGCACAAUGGGCGCAAGCCUGAUGCAGCCAUGCCGCGUGUAUGAAGAAGGCCUUCGGGUUGUAAAGUACUUUCAGCGGGGAGGAAGGCGAUGCGGUUAAUAACCGCGUCGAUUGACGUUACCCGCAGAAGAAGCACCGGCUAACUCCGUGCCAGCAGCCGCGGUAAUACGGAGGGUGCAAGCGUUAAUCGGAAUUACUGGGCGUAAAGCGCACGCAGGCGGUCUGUCAAGUCGGAUGGGAAAUCCCCGGGCUCAACCUGGGAACUGCAUCCGAAACUGGCAGGCUUGAGUCUCGUAGAGGGGGGUAGAAUUCCAGGUGUAGCGGUGAAAUGCGUAGAGAUCUGGAGGAAUACCGGUGGCGAAGGCGGCCUCCUGGACGAAGACUGACGCUCAGGUGCGAAAGCGUGGGGAGCAAACA